rnacentral:rRNA from 1 species
CGGCAAUAGCCCGAAACUCAAAGGACUUGGCGGUGCUUUAUACCCCUCUAGAGGAGCCUGUUCUAUAAUCGAUAAACCCCGAUUAACCUCACCAAUCCUUGCUAAUACAGUUUAUAUACCGCCAUCUUCAGCAAACCCUAAAAAGGAACAAAAGUAAGCUCAAUCAUGACACAUAAAGACGUUAGGUCAAGGUGUAACCUAUGGAAUGGGAAGAAAUGGGCUACAUUUUCUACCCAAGAA